rnacentral:lncRNA from 1 species
CGUAGUGUAUCAUGUUGUUUGGAUCUGUAAUUUAAAUAUGUGUAUUUUUAUCUAUAUCUAAACUUUCAGCAUUAUUUGCACUCAACAUUUGACAUGCUUUCAAUUAUGAAUCCAUUUUCAUGCAUAAUCAAUUUUCAAGUGCAAUCCAUUUUCACGCGUAAUCCAUUUUCAUGUGUAAUACGAUGCAGAUGGACCGGCAAUGGAUGUAUAAUGCGGACAGACGGAGCAAGGUGUUUAUUGAUGGCUCGCAUUAUUUU